UACGAAGGGGGCUAGCGUUGCUCGGAAUCACUGGGCGUAAAGGGUGCGUAGGCGGGUCUUUUAAGUCAGGGGUGAAAUCCUGAAGCUCAACUCCAGAACUGCCUUUGAUACUGAGGAUCUUGAGUUCGGGAGAGGUGAGUGGAACUGCGAGUGUAGAGGUGAAAUUCGUAGAUAUUCGCAAGAACACCAGUGGCGAAGGCGGCUCACUGGCCCGAUACUGACGCUGAGGCACGAAAGCGUGGGAGCAAC
rnacentral:rRNA from 1 species